rnacentral:tRNA from 1 species
GGGGAUGUGACCCGAGCGGCAAAGGGUGGAGGCUGUAACCCUCCUGUCAUCGCGACUUCGUAGGUUCGAGUCCUACCGUCCCCACCA